GGGGACGCGUGGUUUCGACAGAUAGAUAAAAGUAUGGUUUGCGAAUCGAGUUCUAUAUACUCGUAAAAAAAUAUAGAAAAAAUAAACGGCGAAAAAGAAUACGCUUUAGCAGCAGUUUAAACUAGCUUGCUACAUCUUUUUAGGCUUAUCUCGGAAAGCUUAUAUAAGGUGACAUUAAACCGGGAUGCGCUGAUAAAAUGCUUAAUUUAUCAGUAAAGACUUUAAGCAAACUGCUCAAUUUAAACU
rnacentral:tmRNA from 1 species